CAGACAAAGCCGCUCCUCCCAGCCUGCUCCUGCUGCCCUUGCCUCAGCAUGCCACCGCUGAAAAUAAAGACGCGCUGUCCUUGGCCUAGUAAGUAGCUUUAGAUCCUCUGGAACUUCUCUUGAAGGAAUUGACCUUCAUUCUUGCCUCCACUCUCUUCCCACCAAUCUCAGAAACCUCAUUUAAAAUGAAGUCAGAAGACCAGAAGAGAGAACUCACACACAUGCCACUCAACUUCCACUACUUACCACACCAGGAAGAGGCUAUCUUGCAUCUCCAAUAGGAAAUGAUGCUACCUACUUACUACCCCAGCAGGAGGAAGGAAGAAACUCCUCCUUGCCCAGCAACAGCUCAGCCAAUGACAGACGGCCAUAACUCAGCCAAUGAAGAGCCACCACACUUCGAACUCCCAGUCUGCUCCAAUGGACUCUUCCUUUACAACAGCCCCUCCCAACUUUAUGAAAUAACAUUUUCUCUCCUUUGUUUCUUUGGACUUGCACUGUGACUGGCCGUAGGCCACCUGUCCCCAUUUGCAGUUCUUUGCUGUUCCUGAAUAAACAGCAAUUCUACCAGUUUGCUGGGAGAAUAAAUAACUGGCUGCUUAUUUGUUUUAGGUUAAGACUUUCUAGUCUUUAUGUCUCACCCACUAGUCUGUAUAUUUGUGUCUUACGCAUCUUUAGGACCCUCUCAUCACCCUCCAAAAUAAUUAGCAGUAGUAGAUACUCAAGAAACAUUUGUUGAUUUUUUGAAAGUCAAGCUACUUUUUUUAUGAGCCCUUAGUUUCAAACUGAAAUUAUCUAAUUAUCUUUUCCAUUAUUGUUAAUGAGAGUGAAGAAUUUUUCAUUCAGCGUUCAAGAGUCAAAACAUGCCAAAAACAUUUUCCUUUGAGUCUAGGCAUACUGACAAUGUUGUUGCUAAUAUUUGUCCGAUACUUACUCUGUGCCAGGUACUAUGCUGCUUUUGAAUGCCUUGUCUUACUUUUUAGAAUAACCUGUGAAAUAGAGGUUUUCCUCAGUUUUUAUCAUGGUUUGUGAUACAGAAAGGGUGACUCAAUACUCAAAAUCCUGCAGCUAAGAAAGGAAAGAAGUAGGACCUGAAUGCAUUUCAGAUUCCAAAGCUCAUGUAUUUUCUACUACGUCACUCUUCAGGAAACAUGAAUUGAAUGCCACUUAAUUCCUUUCUUUCUAGUGCGUCAUGCUUAAUGGUGCCCUCUUUUUACCUAUAAAUUCUGCCUCCCCCAGAAUUUUGAGGAGAAAAUUUAAGGACAAUUUUUUUUAAAUUCUGAAGAAUUCUCUUUCAUUGUCGAGAGCAGCAGUCUCGGGCUUCAGAAACGGUGGGAAGACCAAUGGGCUUAACAUCAAUACAGUAUUUUGAAUAUUUUAUGUAACAUGACAUUUACCCAUUUGUGUUAUCUAACAAGUUAUUUUUUUUCCUCCCUGGGAAGAAGUUCAAUGUCUUCUUCAAAGAGUCUGAUCAAACAGGUGAACAUCAAGUGGAAAUAUUUUGCCUGCUUUCCUGACACUGUGGGAAUCCAUAACAAUGGGAUGUUUGAAGAGCUUUUCUGAGACUAUGUUGAGGUCUGGCUGGGCUUCCUUUGUGUUCCAGCUGCUGCGUGGAACAGCCUGGUUUUGUCUUUGUUCUUGUAAGAAGGAAAGCAAACACAAGAUGCCUAGUCUGAGAGAUAAUGAAGACCAUGGCAAGAAGGAAAUCUUUGAUCCUUGUUUCUCCCUCACCACCACCCUACCCCAUCAUGAAGCCCGUCUUCCUCCCUGCAUCCCCAUUGCCGUUACACUCAGCCUUUGCUUGGGCUACGGCAGUAGCUCAUUUGUCUCCCCGUUCCCACCCUUGCCUCCAGUCUGCUUCCCACACAGCAGGCAGAGUAAUAUUUUUAAAAUGCAAAUCUGAAUAUGUGACUCUGGUUAAAUACCAUCAAGGCUCCCCAGUGCUCUUUGAAUCACGGCCAAAAUCUUUAACCAGAACGUUAAGGCACUUCAUGGUCUGACCCGUCUGCCUCCUCAGCCUCAUUUUGCCUAACUCCUCCCUUUUUCUGCCUUUCAGGUAUAUUAACAUAUUUUUCUCUUCCUUGAAGAUGCCAGACUAUUCCCUCUGUCUAGAAUGCUAUCCCCACUGCCAAUCUUCUCCUGGUUUACAACUUUUGGCUUUCGGGUGUUAGCUUAAAUGUUAUAACCUCAGGAGAAACUUCCUCAACUCUCCAAUCUAAGUUAGCGAUCCCUCUAAUAAACUCUCUUAGAAC
rnacentral:lncRNA from 1 species